rnacentral:tRNA from 1 species
GGAAGGAUGGCAGAGCGGACGAAUGCACCGGUCUUGAAAACCGGAGUCGUCUUUAUGGCGACCGCAGGUUCGAAUCCUGCUCCUUCCGACA